rnacentral:rRNA from 1 species
GACGAACGCUGGCGGCGCGCCUAACACAUGCCAGUCGAACGAGCGAGCGAGAGCUUGCUUUCUUGAGCGAGUGGCGAACGGGUGAGUAACGCGUGAGGAACCUGCCUCAAAGAGGGGGACAACAGUUGGAAACGACUGCUAAUACCGCAUAAGCCCACGGUGCCGCAUGGCACAGAGGGAAAAGGAGCAAUCCGCUUUGAGAUGGCCUCGCGUCCGAUUAGCUAGUUGGUGAGGUAACGGCCCACCAAGGCGACGAUCGGUAGCCGGACUGAGAGGUUGAACGGCCACAUUGGGACUGAGACACGGCCCAGACUCCUACGGGAGGCAGCAGUGGGGAAUAUUGCACAAUGGGGGAAACCCUGAUGCAGCGACGCCGCGUGGAGGAAGAAGGUCUUCGGAUUGUAAACUCCUGUUGUUGGGGAAGAUAAUGACGGUACCCAACAAGGAAGUGACGGCUAACUACGUG